UUUUUUUUUAAAGCAGAGACAGAGAGCAAGUAGGAAGGGAGCGACGAAGACUGAGCCUAGGAGAGGGAGAGGGAAGGAAGAGGAGUUCCAGAUGUACCAGAAAGGUACUUCCUUAUGUGACACUAUAGAAAUACUGGAUCAAAGCAGACAAAUUCCGAGGAUAGAAACCCUACAGAGCAACCACUCAUGAAGAAUCCCUGGUCUGGUCACCGGGAAACUGACAUUAAGAAAAUAGCUGGAG